rnacentral:tRNA from 1 species
GCUAAUAAACUAAUAAGUUAGGGCUAUAGUACGGUUGUAGUUUUGAGCUUUGUCUCUAUUAGUU